ACGAACGCUGGCGGCGUGCUUAACACAUGCAAGUCGAACGGAAAGGCCCUGCUUGCAGGGUACUCGAGUGGCGAACGGGUGAGUAACACGUGGGUGAUCUGCCCUGCACUUCGGGAUAAGCCUGGGAAACUGGGUCUAAUACCGGAUAGGAGCCAUUUUUAGUGUGAUGGUUGGAAAGUUUUUUCGGUGUAGGAUGAGCUCGCGGCCUAUCAGCUUGUUGGUGGGGUAAUGGCCUACCAAGGCGGCGACGGGUAGCCGGCCUGAGAGGGUGGACGGCCACAUUGGGACUGAGAUACGGCCCAGACUCCUACGGGAGGCAGCAGUGGGGAAUAUUGCACAAUGGGCGCAAGCCUGAUGCAGCGACGCCGCGUGGGGGAUGACGGCCUUCGGGUUGUAAACUCCUUUCGCUAGGGACGAAGCUUUUUGUGACGGUACCUAGAUAAGAAGCACCGGCCAACUACGUG
rnacentral:rRNA from 1 species